CCUACGGGAGGCAGCAGUGGGGAAUAUUGCACAAUGGGGGGAACCCUGAUGCAGCGACGCCGCGUGAGCGAGGAAGUAUUUCGGUAUGUAAAGCUCUAUCAGCAGGGACGAAAAAAGACGGUACCUGACCAAGAAGCCCCGACUAACUACGUGCCAGCAGCCGCGGUAAUACGUAGGGGGCAAGCGUUAUCCGGAUUUACUGGGUGUAACGGGAGCGUAGACGGCAGGGCAAGUCUGGAGUGAAAGGCAGGGGCCCAACCCCUGGACUGCUCUGGAAACUGUCCGGCUGGAGUGCAGGAGAGGUAAGUGGAAUGCGUGGUGUAGCGGUGAAAUGCAUAGAUAUUAGGAAGAACACCAGUGGCGAAGGCAGCUUACUAGACUGUAACUGACGUUGAGGCACGAAAGCGUGGGGAGCAAACAGGAUUAGAUACCCGGGUAGUC
rnacentral:rRNA from 1 species